rnacentral:rRNA from 1 species
ACGGGUGAGUAAUGCCUAGGAAUCUGCCUGGUAGUGGGGGACAACGUUUCGAAAGGAACGCUAAUACCGCAUACGUCCUACGGGAGAAAGCAGGGGACCUUCGGGCCUUGCGCUAUCAGAUGAGCCUAGGUCGGAUUAGCUAGUUGGUGAGGUAAUGGCUCACCAAGGCGACGAUCCGUAACUGGUCUGAGAGGAUGAUCAGUCACACUGGAACUGAGACACGGUCCAGACUCCUACGGGAGGCAGCAGUGGGGAAUAUUGGACAAUGGGCGAAAGCCUGAUCCAGCCAUGCCGCGUGUGUGAAGAAGGUCUUCGGAUUGUAAAGCACUUUAAGUUGGGAGGAAGGGCAUUAACCUAAUACGUUAGUGUUUUGACGUUACCGACAGAAUAAGCACCGGCUAACUCUGUGCCAGCAGCCGCGGUAAUACAGAGGGUGCAAGCGUUAAUCGGAAUUACUGGGCGUAAAGCGCGCGUAGGUGGUUUGUUAAGUUGGAUGUGAAAGCCCCGGGCUCAACCUGGGAACUGCAUUCAAAACUGACAAGCUAGAGUAUGGUAGAGGGUGGUGGAAUUUCCUGUGUAGCGG